rnacentral:tRNA from 1 species
AGGGUAUAGCUCAGUGGUUGAGCACAUAGUUGGCACACAUGAGGUCUUGAGUUCAAUCCCCAGUGCCUCUG